rnacentral:tRNA from 1 species
AUUUAAGUAGCUUAUAUUUAGAGUAUAACAUUGAAGAUGUUAGUGAAAUUAUUUUAAUUCUUAAAUA